rnacentral:rRNA from 1 species
UACGUAGGGGGCGAGCGUUGUCCGGAAUUAUUGGGCGUAAAGAGCGUGUAGGCGGUUCGGUAAGUCUGCCGUGAAAACCCAGGGCUCAACCCUGGGCGUACGGUGGAUACUGCCGGGCUAGAGGGUGGUAGAGGCGAGUGGAAUUCCCGGUGUAGCGGUGAAAUGCGCAGAUAUCGGGAGGAACACCAGUAGCGAAGGCGGCUCGCUGGGCCAUACCUGACGCUGAGACGCGAAAGCGUGGGGAGCAAACAGG